rnacentral:rRNA from 1 species
UACGUAGGGGGCUAGCGUUGUCCGGAAUCAUUGGGCGUAAAGCGCGUGUAGGCGGUCCGGUAAGUCCGCUGUGAAAGUCGGGGGCUCAACCCUCGGAUGCCGGUGGAUACUGUCGGGCUUGAGUACGGAAGAGGCGAGUGGAAUUCCUGGUGUAGCGGUGAAAUGCGCAGAUAUCAGGAGGAACACCAGUGGCGAAGGCGCCACUCUGGGCCGUAACUGACGCUGAGGAGCGAAAGCGUGGGUAGCAAACAGG